rnacentral:rRNA from 1 species
UGCGAGUUGAUGGGAUACCCAAAGUUCCCAUGGCAAACUGCUCAGUAACACAUGAUCAACUUACCCUAUAGAGAAAAAUAACCUCGGGAAACUGAGGAUAAUGUUUCAUAGUUGAAUUGGCUUGGAAAAGUUUUUCGACGAAAGGGGUAAAAAGAAUGGUUUUUAUCUGCUAUAGGAUAGGAUCGUGUUCGAUUAUGGUUGUUGGUGAGGUAAUGGCUCACCAAGCCGAUAAUCGAUAGGGGCCGUGAGAGCGGGAGCCCCGAGAUGGGUACUGAGACAACGACCCAGGCCUUACGAGGCGCAGCAGGCACGAAACCUCCGCAAUACACGAAAGUGUGGCGGGGUUACCCAAAGUGUUCUAUUUAGAACUGUGGUAGGUGAGUAAUGUCCCCUACUAGAAAGGAGAGGGCAAGGCUGGUGCCAGCCGCCGCGGUAAAACCAGCUCUUCAAGUGGUCGGGAUAAUUAUUGGGCUUAAAGUGUCCGUAGCCGGUUUAGUAAGUUCCUGGUAAAAUCGGGUAGCUUAACUAUCUAUAUGCUAGGAAUACUGCUAUACUAGAGGGCGGGAGAGGUCUGAGGUACUACAGGGGUAGGGGUGAAAUCUUAUAAUCCUUGUAGGACCACCAGUGGCGAAGGCGUCAGACUGGAACGCGCCUGACGGUGAGGGACGAAAGCCAGGGGAGCGAACCGGAUUAGAUACCCGGGUAGUCCUGGCCGUAAACGAUGCAUACUAGGUGAUGGCACGGCCAUGAGCCGUGUCAGUGCCGUA